GGGGGGGGCAAGCGUUGUUCGGAAUUACUGGGCGUAAAGGGCUCGUAGGCGGCCAACUAAGUCGGACGUGAAAUCCCUCGGGCUCAACUGAGGAACUGCGUCCGAUACUGGAUGGCUUGAGUCCCGGGAGAGGGAUGCGGAAUUCCAGGUGUAGCGGUGAAAUGCGUAGAUAUCUGGAGGAACACCGGUGGCGAAGGCGGCAUCCUGGACCGGCACUGACGCUGAGGAGCGAAAGCCAGGGGAGCAAACGGGAUUAGAUACCCCGGUAGUCCUGGCCCUAAACGAUGAAUGCUUGGUGUGGCGGGUAUCGAUCCCUGCCGUGCCGAAGCUAACGCGAUAAGCAUUCCGCCUGGGGAGUACGGUCGCAAGGCUG
rnacentral:rRNA from 1 species